rnacentral:rRNA from 1 species
ACUCAAAGGAAUAGACGGGGACCCACACAAGCGGUGGAGCAUGGGGUUUAAUUCGAUGAUAAGCGAAGAACCUCACCCAGGCUUGACAUGUCAGGAACGCUCCCGAAAAGGAGCCGUGCCGCAAGGAACCUGAACACAGGCGCUGCACGGUCGUCGUCAGCUCGUGCCUUGAGGUGUACUGUUAAGUCAGCCAACGAGCGCAACCCUCAUCCUCUGUUGUUUUUUCAGGGGAGACUGCCGCCUCCAAGGCGGAGGAAGGUGGGGAUGACGUCAGAUCAGCGUGGCCUUUAUGCCUGGGGCAACACCCAUGCUACAAUGGCCGGUACAGAGGGCAGCGAACCCGCGAGGGGGAGCUAAUCCCAUCAAAACCGGUCUCAGUUCGGAUUGAAGUCUGCAACUCGACUUCAUGAAGUUGGAAUCGCUAGUAACCGUGGAUCAGCUACGCCACGGUGAAUAUGUUCCUGGGUCUUGUACACACCGCCCGU